rnacentral:tRNA from 1 species
AGGCCGGGGCCCGGGGCCAGGCUGGUCUCCAAAACCAACCGGGGAAGUUCAACUCUUCCACGACCUGCCA